rnacentral:tRNA from 1 species
GCACCGAUAGCUCAACCGGCAGAGCAGGGGACUCUUAAUCCCAAGGUUGUAGGUUCGAUUCCUACUCGGUGCA